rnacentral:rRNA from 1 species
UACGUAGGGGGCGAGCGUUGUCCGGAGUUACUGGGCGUAAAGAGCUUGUAGGCGGUUUGUCGCGUCUGCUGUGAAAUUUCGGGGCUCAACCCCGAACUUGCAGUGGGUACGGGCAGACUAGAGUGUGGUAGGGGAGACUGGAAUUCCUGGUGUAGCGGUGAAAUGCGCAGAUAUCAGGAGGAACACCGAUGGCGAAGGCAGGUCUCUGGGCCGUAACUGACGCUGAGAAGCGAAAGCAUGGGGAGCGAACAGG